GCCGGGUUAGCUCAGCUGGUAGAGCAGCGGUUUUGUAAACCGAAGGUCACGGGUUCGAUCCCUGUACUCGGCACCA
rnacentral:tRNA from 2 species